UACGGGGGGAGCAAGCGUUGUUCGGAUUUACUGGGCGUAAAGGGCGCGUAGGCGGCGCAACAAGUCACUUGUGAAAUCUCCGGGCUUAACUCGGAAAGGUCAAGUGAUACUGUUGUGCUAGAGUGCGGAAGGGGCAACUGGAAUUCUCGGUGUAGCGGUGAAAUGCGUAGAUAUCUGGAGGAACACCGGUGGCGAAGGCGGCAUCCUGGACCAACACUGACGCUGAGGAGCGAAAGCCAGGGGAGCAAACGGG
rnacentral:rRNA from 1 species